GAAAAUUGAGUAUUCAGCAGCAGUGAUCUGAGGGGCCCUGGAGGAGAUGCAGCUCUGCUGCUCCAGGCAAGGAUGCAGCUGAAAAUUGCAUUUUAAGCCGGGAGGAGGAGGAGUUUGGCACGCAGCAGGUGAAGGAUGUGCUUGGCUGCUGAGAGCUUCACUCAGAACUCUGUGUUGGGUACCCCUGUGAAAUCCUGCUCAGGUUUUUAUUGGUCUGAUGCAAAAAUCCUUGUGCAUCUCACACGAUCUCUGAUGGUUACACAGCUGUUCUGGCCCCUGUGUGCUUUGUGCAGCACUGAAUGUGCUGGGAGCCCAAAUCCAUCAGCAGUGAAGCAUCUCUUUUUUUACUCUUUGUAUUUGCUCAGAAAAACAUCACCCAAAUGCUGCUUCUCCAGCAGGGGAAGGAAUGGGUGCCUGCCACAGCUGCAGCCACUGCCAGAAUUUCAGAAUCUUUUUGCACUCAAGGUCCAGCUGGAUCUUUUCCUGACCCAGGUCUCCCGGUGCCAAUGGUGACCAGAAGUUUCUGCUGCUCCCGAGACAGGUGACCUGGAGCAGGGAGGGAACCCUGGAGGUCAGAACUGCAAUGGAAAGGAUUGGAAGAAGGGAGGUGUUUCUGCAAAGCCCAGGCUGGAAUGCAAUGAUCCAUGAAGCAGUGGGUGGGGAAAGACAGAAAAAGAUAUGCUGCUGCUAACAAACUCAGCAAACCUCCAGCAAACCCAGGGAACCACACUAAAACGAGUUAUUAAAACCUCUUAAGUGACUUUAACCUGCUCUAGCUGAUAAUUCAUUGCCACUUUGACUUGUCUGUGGCUGCAGUUUUGCUGCAUUUCAAAGCAGAGCUGGUCUCUGUGACUGCCUACAGUGUACAACUAGCACAGAACCCCAGCAGCCUGCAGGGGGACGUGAAUUCAUCAGAAGAUAAGAGGGGUGUCAGCUGUACCAUCUGCUGCCCCUGAUGAGGAGAGGAGCAGCUGAAUGCUGGGGACAUCAGUACUGGAAUGGAGGGGAGCAGGGGG
rnacentral:lncRNA from 1 species